rnacentral:rRNA from 1 species
UGCGUUUAAAAAGCUCGUAGUUGGAUUACGCAGUGUAAGAACGGUACUCAAUGUGUGGUGACAUUAAAGCUUCUUUGUGGAUUAGUAUGCGGGAUAACGGAUGUAUGAUGCAAAUCUGCAUUACGACUUGUGUAUCUGUUUACUUUGAGGUGUUGCAGUGCAUUGAAUCCAGCCGUCUUAUGCUACAUGUAUCGUGAAUGUAAUAUAUAGCCUUGAUUGGUCGUGUGUUGUGUUUGCGGAGUGUGCCUUGAAUAAAUCAAAGUGCUUAAAGCAGGCGUGUUAGCUUGAAUGUUAAUAGCAUGGAACGAACAAUUGUGAAUGCACAAGUGCAGUGUAAUGUUUAGACUUUGUUUAUUCAUAUGAUUGAGCUUGUGUAGCACCAACCAUUGAUACGGAUGUUGGUUUCCGUAUUGAGGUGAGUAUUAAAACGAGCGGUUGGGGGCAUUAGUAUUUGUCCGCGAGAGGUGAAAUUCUUGGACCGGACAAGGACUGACAAAUGCGAAAGCAUCUGCCUAGACCGUUUCGAUUGAUCAAGUACGAAAGUGAGAGGUUCGAAGACGAUCAGAUACCGUCCUAGUUCUCACUGUAAACUAUGCCAACCCGGGAUCAGUUUUGAGCUAAGUUAUAUACUAUGCUCGUGGUUGGUCCCCCUGGGAAACUUAAAGUUUUUAGGUUCCGGGGGGAGUAUGGUUGCAAGGCUGAAACUUAAAGGAAUUGACGGAAGGGCACCACCAGGGGUGGAGCCUGCGGCUUAAUUUGACUCAACACGGGAAAACUCACCAGGUCAGGACAUCGAAAGGAUUGACAGAUUGAUAGCUCUUUCAUGAUACGGUGUAUGGUGGUGCAUGGCCGUUCUUAGUUCGUG